rnacentral:rRNA from 1 species
AGUGAACGCUGGCGGUAGGCCUAACACAUGCAAGUCGAACGGCAGCACAGUAAGAGCUUGCUCUUACGGGUGGCGAGUGGCGGACGGGUGAGGAAUACAUCGGAAUCUACUUUUUCGUGGGGGAUAACGUAGGGAAACUUACGCUAAUACCGCAUACGACCUACGGGUGAAAGCAGGGGAUCUUCGGACCUUGCGCGAUUGAAUGAGCCGAUGUCGGAUUAGCUAGUUGGCGGGUUAAAGGCCCACCAAGGCGACGAUCCGUAGCUGGUGUGAGAGGAUGAUCAGCCACACUGGAACUGAGACACGGUCCAGACUCCUACGGGAGGCAGCAGUGGGGAAUAUUGGACAAUGGGCGCAAGCCUGAUCCAGCCAUACCGCGUGGGUGAAGAAGGCCUUCGGGUUGUAAAGCCCUUUUGUUGGGAAAGAAAAGCAGCAGGUUAAUACCCCGCGGUUCUGACGGUACCCAAAGAAUAAGCACCGGCUAACUUCGUG